GUGCUUGGAGUAGGGGAAAAAAGGAAUUCUACAGUAAAGGAUGAAGCUGCAGCAGAUGCACCUGACUUGAGACAGGGACGGAGGCACCCACGCUGGGCUGGG